rnacentral:lncRNA from 1 species
UCUGCUUUUGUAUUGGGCUCAAAGGUGUCCUUUGACGUCUUCAGACAUGCUGUAGCAUGGCUGAGCCUGCACUCAUACGCAUGCGCACACAUGGCAACCGGCGACCGCGGCAUGGCAGCAACGCCGCCCACCGUCGGUGACAAGAAGUUGAACUGCAAGCUGAUGUUGGUGGUACAUACACAUCUGUAAUCCCAGAUACUUCGAGAGCUAAGAUGGGAGGAUUCUCAGUUCAGUGACAACACAGUUUUUCACCUCAAUUUUUCAAGAAGAAAAGAUGGCGUGUUAUUUGUCCUAAUUUGUGAUUUAUAUCAUAAGGUCCUUGUGUAGCUCAGAAAAAAAAUUCUUCUGCACUUCAAUAUUUGAAAAGCCUCCUUUAAGUGGCUGCGGGUGUGGCUGAUGGCGAUGGCGAGGAUGAGCUGUAAGCAUGAGGCCCUGGCGGAGGUCCCCACCAAGACAAAAUCAGGUCAGCCAGCCCACCUCUGGAGUCUCCAGUGCCUUGGGAAAAUGAACGAAGGUGGCGAGUUUAGCAUCUGUAGCCGGUAGAAAAACAAAGUCGUAGGAGGACAGUCAGACUCAGCCCAUGCCCGACAGCUGCCAGGUGUCACAGAAGCAACCAGGGCUGAGCAUGAUGAAGUAUGAAACCAACUGGUCUCUGACAUGAGAGAUUCUGACGUCUGCUGUGGUGGAUUUUCUUUCUCAGCAUUACUGGCUAGUCAGUGUCUGAUACAGCUUUCAGCUUUGCUUUCGCUAUUGAGCGGCCCUGGAACUUUCCGGCUACAUUCCCAGGGGGCUUCCUAAUCGACCCUGCUGAAGGGGGCGUUCUCAGCGGUUCCUUCUCAGCCUUCUGAUCCUCCGUGGGAGGGCUGAUCUCUAUUCAGCUCUUCCUCAUAAUUUAGGCACCAGCAGACCUCGGGUGAGAGCUCACAGGUGCAGGAAGGAGCCACCUACAGCUGCUGAGGAUGCACGACUAGGGCCAGGCUGAUUUCUGGAGGGAUUGGCAGAUGUGGAAGUGGUUAAGGUUGCUUGAACCCAGGAAGAAAGUUCUUAUCCCUGAGACAUCCCUGUGCUAUGCUGUAGCCAGUGUGCUGGCCACUCCAGGGACACAGAAAUCCUUGCCUCCUCGAGCACACUGUGAGCUGGGGAAACAUACUGAGUUCUAUACAUCGACAGGGGGGUUGGAAAGCAUCGAUCUAAAAGGCUGGCAGAAUGGCCAAAGACUAAAGAAAGCAUUAGACGGCGUGCGUGUGGUGCACAGCCACACAUGCCACCAAAUACUCAUUCACAUAAAAAUACGUCUUAUUUUACUUAAAGAAAGAGUGAGAUGGGGCAGAGCGAGAUUUGAGAGGACCUGGAAAGGCUUUUUCUCCCCGGUGGACACCAGCCGGUUGUAAAACAGUAACAUUGUAACAUUGUAGCCUAAGGAGGACAAGGAGAAUCCAGAUUUCAGCACUUUUGGUGCUGGGAUUUAAAAGUGCGCAGCUUACUGGUAAAGAUCAAAGGAAUCACCACAGGGAAGGCAGAAUGGGAGCAGAACCCCUGUCAGUGUGUGGUGGUGGGGGUGAAACUGGACAGUGACCUAAAAGGCAUUUUACAGAUUAAGCCCCUCCCCACCAUCUUUACACCGUUCCUGGUCUGGCUUCCCGGUAGCUCUGUCUGUCUUCAUGACCCUGCCCCCCACUCUGGUAGCUUUCUCACCAGAGCCCCUGAGCUCCUCUUCGCCCACUGCCGUGCCAGAUGAAGGCACAGACACCAGCUCCGAGAUCGCCACCAAGGACUUGAAGGAGAAGAUGUUGUGCAGGAGGCAGAGAAUGAAGAGAUGCCCUUGACAACGGGAAUGCCGGAAAUGGGGAUCAGGAGGCUGGGGUGAGGCAGGUAAGGAAGAGGACAGAGAGGAAGCUGAGGCUGAGGCUGAGGCAGCCACAGGCCAGUGGGCUGCUGAAGAUGACAAGGAUGAUCAUGCUGAUACUGUGGAGCCGGAGAUGGAUGAGGACGAUUGGACAGCAAAGAAGAAAAGGUUAAUCCUAAAAGGCUACCAUGGCCUCUUCACCCUCCACUUCCCAGCUCAGCAUCCCUGUGCAUUCACCUGUGGGUAGCAAGGUUGCCUACAGUGGGCAGUCUCAUGGGAAGAGCACACACACACUACACACACACAUACUGCUGAAAUCAGGAUCGGCUCUGAACCCAGUGACAUCACACCUAGGUGACAGUGACCUGUACAUGUGUGGCCAUGGCGACUGCCAUACAUUCCCCGAAUCCUCUUGGCUCACCUCCCACCUUUACCUGCAAGCGACUACGUCAUCCAAAUAAAAGGAAGACCCCUCUGACCCCUCUCUCCCCUCCCUUCUUCAAUGCCACCUUUGCUCUCUUCCUCCACAAUAAACCUCUGCCAUGUGGAUCUCUUAGGGGUCAUCUUCUGCUUGGAAUAAGGAUGGACCAUCCAAUCUCUGAAACUUACAAAAGUCCUAGGGAAACUGGGACAGUUGGCCACCCUAGCCCUGGAUCCAGCUGUCAAACCAGAAAGAAGUUAAGACGUCCAUGAAAGAGGACAAAGCUAUCCAGCAGGUUGGAUUACUCAAACGGGGUCUCUCUGUUUAGCAAGAAGCUGUCUGCUAAUUCAUAAUCCUCCUGCCUCAGUCUAGGAUUACAGAAGCACACCACCGUGCCCAGGACUCAGGUGAUCUUUUGAGGGUCAUGCACAAGAUUGUCACCUGCCCAGGGUUCACUCCCUGCCUCUAAGUUAAAGCCCUGAUUUUUCCAAAU